CUUUUGCACUAAAAAGGACUUUUAAUUCAACAUCGAGGUCACAAACUUAUUUGUCAAUUAGAACUUUCUAAAUAAAUUAAGCUGUUAUCCCUAAAGUAACUUAUUCUUCUUUUAAAAUUUUUAGAUACUAAGAUUCAAGAUCUUUAAGUUUAGAAAAAGAUUAAUUUAUUCCACCGCCCCAGUAAAAUACCCCCUCUCCUUUCUAAAAGAAAAUUGAAUAUAAAGUUUUAUAGGGUCUUCUCGUCUAUAAGAGUUAUUUUAGCCUUCUUACUAAAAAGUCAACUUCAUCUUUUUUAUCUUUAAAAAAUCUUUUCCAGUUUACCCUUUCAUUCCAG
rnacentral:rRNA from 1 species